GAGGUCUGCGACACUCGACCUCAUGAAGUCGGAGUCGCUAGUAAUCGCAGAUCAGCAACGCUGCGGUGAAUACGUUCCCGGGUCUUGUACACACCGCCCGUCAAGUCAUUGAACUCGGUAACACCUGAAGCCGGUGACCGUAACCCUUGAUGGAGCGCAGCCGUCCGAAGGGGAUCAGAUAUCACC
rnacentral:rRNA from 1 species